rnacentral:rRNA from 1 species
GGGUCAGUGGGUUGGUCGUGCCACCGGUACGUACUGGUCUCACUGAUUCCUCCUUCCUGAAGAACCGUAAUGCCAUUAAUUUGGUGUUGCGGGGAAACAGGACUGUUACUUUGAAAAAAUUAGAGUGUUUAAAACAAGCUAACGCUUGAAUACAUUAGCAUGGAAUAAUGAAAUAGGACGAUCGAUCCUAUUUUGUUGGUUUCUAGGAUUGACGUA